UCUUUGCUUUUCAUAUGACUCAUUAACAAUUCACAACUUCUAUAAUUGAAACUCCUUCAUGCUGUUUGGAAAGCCUUGCCUUAACACUUAACAUUUGAGACAAAGACAAUAUACAGUUUAGAAGAAAAGUAAACAUUUAAAUAUUAUACAUUAAGAGCAUCUGUGUCUUUAAAUAAAAGCUAAAUAUUCUAAUUACUCUAAAUGAAGUGAGGAAACAGCCUAAACCCUUCCUCAUCAUGCUGUAAUGUUUUAUGAAGAAUUUUAUAUCCCAUGUGUUGUGCUGUCAUAUCCUUCUGAUAUCAAUAUGGAUGUGAAACAGUUCAUGAAUUUUGAGUGUACCGC
rnacentral:lncRNA from 1 species